CGCGGGAGUCGGGCGGACGUGGUCAUCGCCAACCCGGUCAGGUCCGGAAGGAAGCAGCCGCAACGAUUUCGCCCCGGGUCGUUCCGGCUCCCACCGCAA
rnacentral:SRP_RNA from 1 species